CCAUGUUGAAAGGGCUAGCUAAUUGAUUAUAUUGUAGAGGUGGGAAAGAAAAUAACCUUCACCAACCUUAUAUAUAUGUAGCUAGUUAAUUAGAGCUGGCUAGAAUUAAUUUAGUUCUGUUAUUAUGUAACUUUUUUAUUUUGUUAUAUAUUUAAGUCGUUUUAA